rnacentral:rRNA from 1 species
UGGGGAAUAUUGCGCAAUGGGGGGAACCCUGACGCAGCCAUGCCGCGUGAAUGAAGAAGGCCUUAGGGUUGUAAAGUUCUUUCGGUAUUGAGGAAGGUUGAUGUGUUAAUAGCACAUCAAAUUGACGUUAAAUACAGAAGAAGCACCGGCUAACUCCGUGCCAGCAGCCGCGGUAAUACGGAGGGUGCGAGCGUUAAUCGGAAUAACUGGGCGUAAAGGGCACGCAGGCGGUUAUUUAAGUGAGGUGUGAAAGCCCCGGGCUUAACCUGGGAAUUGCAUUUCAGACUGGGUAACUAGAGUACUUUAGGGAGGGGUAGAAUUCCACGUGUAGCGGUGAAAUGCGUAGAGAUGUGGAGGAAUACCGAAGGCGAAGGCAGCCCCUUGGGAAUGUACUGACGCUCAUGUGCGAAAGCGUGGGGAGCAAACAGGAUUAGAUACCCUGGUAGUCCACGCUGUAAACGCUGUCGAUUUGGGGGUUGGGGUUUAACUCUGGCGCCCGUAGCUAACGUGAUAAAUCGACCGCCUGGGGAUACGGCCGCAAGGUUA